UACGGGGGGGGCAAGCGUUGUUCGGAAUUACUGGGCGUAAAGGGCGCGUAGGCGGCCUGCUAAGUCGGACGUGAAAUCCCCCGGCUCAACCGGGGAACUGCGUCCGAUACUGGUGGGCUCGAAUCCGGGAGAGGGAUGUGGAAUUCCAGGUGUAGCGGUGAAAUGCGUAGAUAUCUGGAGGAAUACCGGUGGCGAAGGCGGCAUCCUGGACCGGCAUUGACGCUGAGGAGCGAAAGCCAGGGGAGCAAACGGG
rnacentral:rRNA from 1 species